AUUGUGCCUCCCCCAAACCUGUCUGAGAUGCCACAGCAUGCAUGUGCUCACUCAUCUGGAUGCAGCCUAAUUCAGCUUUUGUUAAGAUUUUUGCACACCAAUUCCAUAUGGCCCAUCUUUAGAAAAAUGUUAGCUGAAUAAGGAUACUUUUCAUGAAUUGAAUAAGUAUGUACUAAAGAAUAUUUAGACUGAUCCAUAUUGCCUAGCUCACUGCACAGUUUUCUUCUUGCUUAUUUUGUAAUUAUGUCUAUCCAAAUUCUAGGAGUGCACACGUACAUACAUUAUUUAUGCAUAUAAACUAAAAAUGUGAGAAUUCAAUAACCAGUAGAGCUAUAUUUUAUAUAAGGUUUGUAUGGCUAUUGGGCUAUUUUUUACUGUAAACUUAGUGUAAUAGUAGUGUGCUUUAAUUAUUUUUCUAAAAAUGUCACCUCUUUAGAUACUGAAUAUCCUGUUAGGCUAAGCUGGAAGUAAAACGACAAGAAGGAUGUAUAUAACCAUAGUGGGAGGGCACAUUAAACUGUAGAUCAAAAAUAUAAUGGAAUAAUUAGCUUCUGUGAAGAAGUAAAUCUUCAAACAAGAGAUUUAAAAUUCUUUAUUUCCUUUCAAAGUAGGCCUUUACCUAACUUGUCCAGUCUAGAGCUGAUAUCAGGGCAGAUCAUUUAAAAUCCAGAAUAAGAAAAUGAAAGACUACCUUCCCAAUAGUCCUGUCAGAUUUCCCAUCCCAGAGCUUGGUUUUCAGAUGUUAUGCCCAGAGCCUUUGCUAGUGCUUUUGGGAAGGACUCAAGAAUGUUAUCUUAACAGUUAGACCUCACCUUAACCUGACCAGAAAAGAAGCAAUUGGAGAAUGAACUGCUCUCUGCUUUUACUGGUCUGUCCACAUCAUUCUUGAAGUGCAGGAUUCAAAAC